UACGUAGGUGACAAGCGUUGUCCGGAAUUACUGGGCGUAAAGCGUGCGCAGGCGGUUUUGUAAGCCAGAUGUGAAAUCCCCGGGCUUAACCUGGGAAUGGCAUUUGGGACUGCAAGGCUCGAGUGCGGCAGAGGAGACUGGAAUUCCUGGUGUAGCAGUGAAAUGCGUAGAUAUCAGGAGGAACACCGAUGGCGAAGGCAGGUCUCUGGGCUGACACUGACGCUCAUGCACGAAAGCGUGGGGAGCAAACAGG
rnacentral:rRNA from 1 species